CUCUCAACUCGCAACGAAAUGUGUCCGCCAUUGCUGUCCGCGUGUAGUCUGCGCGUAUAUGACAUAUCCACGCGAGAGCCCUUGCUCCAUAUUAGGAAGUUAAAUUUGAUUGGUUCGGGAUAAUCGGCAGCAUUGAACCAGAGUUAAACGCUUCUAAGUGAUAUGCUUCUGCUUAUAUAAAUAUCAAUAAAAUACCAAAAAAAAAUCAGUUCGUGAGCGGUCCGUCUAAUAGCAGUCCCUAUUGCAAAAUUUGGACCGCUCAGGCAACCAAUCAGAAUUCUCCUUUUUAGCCUGGACUGUUUCAGCCAAUAAAAACUAAUUAUAUCAAGUAAAUGUAAGUAGGCACAGGUAUGCUCUGCAGACCUGCAUUUCGCCUUGUCGUGGAUUUUUCAACAUUCAAAAUAACUUUCAAUACUCCCAAUCCACCAGUUCCUCAUUUUUAUUCGACUACUUUUUCUAGACUAAUCCAAUUCAUCCAUGAGCUGGCUCGCAAGAACCUUUGAUUAUGUUGGUGUGUUUGUGGUUCAUAGGUUAAAAUACAGUUAAUGACAGAUGGAAAGCAACUGCAUGUUAAACCAAACAUGCUAAGGAAGCCUCCUCUUCCAACUAUAACAGCACCUGCCAGGACAACUGACCUCAUGCAAGUUUCAAACCCUCAUCCAGUUGGACAGGUGUGUAAUGUGACACCUCUCAGGAGAACUGAAACUGCCAACCAGUUAGACAAACAGUCAUCUCAGGAGGCUAAACAAAUUGACCUUGCCAUUGAGCAAGAUCCCUCAACUCUGUAUAAUCUUCUGUGGAUACCAGAGGGGAAAGCACUCUUCCAGCAUGAUUACCAUAGCAGCCAAGAUGUUCCUAUGGGACUUGUUACUAAGAGCAACCUUUACUUGGUGUGUCGCAUGUUCUGGUGUGAAGAGGUGUCUAAAUCAAGAGUUUGUUGGGGAACUGCAAAUCCACCAUUUGGGUUUAAGCAGGUUGCACCAGUGCUACUCACUCCAACUCUGCUACAACGAGUCUGCAAUAACUUCAUGGUUGUAGAGGUUUGGAACAGGGUUAGGCCAAAUGACCUGGAAGACAAGUUGUUAGGUCUUGUCAAGUUACCUUUACAUCAACUCUACCUGUCAUACAGGGACCCUAAAAUCACAAAAACACUACUCAAGUCAAAGUUUCCUGUAGUGGCAGUGGAUCAGUGGUGUCCUGUAACCAACCCAUUUACUCAUAUGCAGCAUGGUCAUAUAAGGGUACUUUUAGCAAUGGGUAUAGAACAGCAGAUUGGAGCCAUCCUGUCAAUUAAGUGUGGAGGAGAGAUUCCAGUUGGAGUAGAGCCACACUCAGCUCAUCAUCUUGAUUCACAGAGAGUGAGAGGUGAAAAAGAAAGUGAAAAUGCUCAUUUAUCAAGAGGCCAAGAAUUUGUUGAGCAUCAGUUUGAGAUUGUGGUCGAGGACAUCAAAGGUCUGUCAGUCUUUGGUAACACUGUUUGGGGUGAAACUGACUGCUUUGUUCAGUAUCACUUUCCAUUCCAAAGGCACCUGGAUUCUGAUUAUGGACCAAGUGAAGGCACACUCAGUCUUCAGCCUCAUCGUACCCCCACUACUUUGUGUGUGCCUGAGCCAGUAUUUCAUGAUGUGACAAGACAUACACUGAAGCUUGCUCAAGGAUUUCCAGUUCAGAAACUCUUACUGGCAGCAUUCACUGGUUCUUGGCUGGCUGCUCCUACUGUCCCAGGGUCAGGUGGAGUUCCUUUUGAACUCUGGCAGAGAUACUACUAUCCAAAUAUCAGAGACCAAAUGGUGGCUAAGGCAAGUCUGCCACUUGCAAAGCUGUGUGCAAUGGUAACUAUGCAGAAACAAGGUGAAGCAAAUUUCCAGACCUUCUCCUUACCAUUGAGAGUCCUUGCUGCAAUUGAGGUGGAUAAUAUGCGACAGGAUAAAGUGCGAGACAGUGGCUUACUUGACAUCACUGUUAAAUAUCAGCAAGUGAAAACAGAGGAUCCAAAAGGAAGACAUACAGCAGUGAUGGAAGACAACAAUCAAGUUUGUUUAUCACUUGGAGUGUUUCAAGCCUGUGGACUCAAGGCAGCAGCACUUUUUCAUGUGGAAUCCAACCCCAGCCUGUCAUAUCCUACAGAGGUUGGUGUCAACACAUACAUUGUGCUGCAGUUCCCACUGGGAAAGAAGCUCAAGCAUGUGACAAGGACUGUGGCACGGACAUUCAGUCCUGAGUUUUCAUACAAUGCAGAUAUAUUGUUACCAGUAGUGUUGCCAUCUGAUGUAAGUGGUACUAAAAGAAAUCUGAGUUUAGCAGAACAGCUGGAAAAAUCUGAAAUGGUGUUUGAAGUUUGGCAUCAAAUGUCACGAGGAGUGAGUGGUGACCAGACAAUAAGAUCAGGUAUGGAGCAAGUCAAGUCUGGAGGGCAGAGAGAUGUUUUGCUUGGUGUGGGAAAAGUACCUCUUGUCAAGCUUCUUGCUCAUAAAACAGGAGUCAAAGGAUGGUACCCAAUAUACUUGCCUAGUAAAAGUGGCAUGCAUGAUGGUGAUGUGGACAAGGUUGUUGGAGGGUUAGAACUUAGUAUCCAAUUCUCAGAAGCAGAGGAUAGAGACCAUGUUAUUCACCUGUCAAGAGGAGUUGGUUGGUCUCCACUGCCUGAGAUAGAUUGUGAUGAGGAGUGGCUGGACAAAGAGGAUCUAUCCAAAAAGAAACACUGGGAGUAUUGCUUGAACAUCAACAAGGCUUGGAUUCCUUCGUCAGAACUUCAUUCUUUUCAGGUGUCAGUAACAAAACGGGAUAAAGAUAUCAGGGCUUAUGCACGAUACAAGCUCUACAACAAAGCUCCCAUAUGCUCAAGAGUGUCAUCUGUGAAAGAUUCUGGUGAUGGUAAACUCAUUUGUGAGCUGAAACAUUGUAAAGAUGUUGUACUGCCAUCAUCACCCUCCCUUACUUGGCAAAUGAGAGAAGAAUGUUUAGAGGUCCAGUUAUGGCUCAGAAACAUGAGAAAUGCUGAGGUUAAAAACCCUAAGAAGAGAGACAGAUUAGUGGGAUCAGCAUUUGUAGAUGUUUCAUCAUUGCUUCUUGGCCAGCAAAGGAAGCAUAGACAAAUAAGUGGGUUGUACCCACUGUUCAGGUCUGGGGCAAGUGAUCUGUGUGGUGCUUGUAUCCAUAUUCAAGUCUCCCUUAACUUGAGUUCUGAUGAUGACUUUGACCAUCAGUGUGACUUGGAAGGGCAAUUAAGUUCACAUGAAUCUGUCAGUGGUAGUUCUUCAGUUGAGGAUAAUGUGCAAGACAUCAGAUCAAUGAUUUCCACUCAGGAUCACACUUUGCCUGUUAAAUCAACACAGCAUGAAACAAACAAACAGCUGCCAGUCACUGAAGCUGAGGACAACACAUUCAUGGCACAUGUAAUUAUUGAACAAGCACUUCACCUUCCUACAGUUCCAGGAGACAAUGAUGCAAGGUAUUCAAUCAGAUCUAUUCAGUACAUUUACAGGGAGAAAACUGGUUGAAAAAGUGAUGUACAUGUUUUGAAUUAUUAUAACAUUGGUAUUUAUUUAUUUAUUUAUUUUACAAUUACAAUUCAAUGGUGUACUUAAAAAAUAAAAAAUAAAAUAAAAUCAACAAAUAAAUUAUAUUAAUUAACAUAGGGAAGCCAUAAGGGUAAUCCGUGCAAGAGUAAAGAAGCUCCAUAUAUAUACACGACAGUUCACCUAAUGUAAUCACAAUAUAAAUAUUAAGAACAUACAUAUCAUUAAAAUUUAUUAUAGGCUAAUCUAAAAAUGUAUUAAAAAUAAAGAAAGAAAGAAAGAAAAGCUCUAAACAUCAAUAAGCAUUCAUCAAUAUGGACAGUUAGUUCCCUACCCCACCCCAUCUACAAUUGUAUGAGAAAUAUUUAGGUGUAAGCAAAUCAGAUAAUGUAUAAAACUAUUAAAAUUGUGAACUAAAGAAAAUGACUGUUAUUAAAAGGGCAGCAUUGAUCCUACUCAUAAAAAUGAACAUAGAGUGAAAAGUUAAGUAAAGAAGUUGGUAAAAAUGAGCUAAUAUCCCAAGAAAAUACUUACAUAGUUCAAACAAGUUACUGGAGAGGAAAGCAUUAACAUCAGUAUUAUAUGCUGUACCACCGAAUAAACAUGCGAAGAAAAGAAAACUGAAUUGACAAACUUAGUUUAUGGUCAGGUACGUGCGCACUCUGUUUUACUUUUAAAACUUUGAAAUUUUAUACGUCAUAAUAUUAUGUAAUAAGAACAUUUUAGCCUACUGUUAUGUAGUGAACACUUGUUCAUGUAGCCAUUGCACUGACAAUGAAGGAUGUACCACCAAAACAUGUCUGAAAGACUGGGUUGACCACAACACCUGCCCAACAUUGAAUUGUGGGGCCAGGACUAUCAGAGAAUUUUCAUUAGAUGCAUUUAUUGUCAUUUUCUAAUAGUUUCUCAAGUACUUUUGACACCCAUUGUACCUUGGUAGUGUCAACGUUGUGUAUUUUCAACUCUUUGCUGGCAAUUUCUUUUCUGAAAGACAUGCUGUCAGUUUAUCAGAGUGCAUGCUCAAAACAAUUAGUAAUUUAAAAGUGAAAAUAGAAAUGCUCCCAAAGGAGCCAUUUGUUGGUUGGAGGGCUCUGUGUUGGACAUCUGUCAAAUGAUUGACAGACAGACAGACAGACAGACAACCUUUACUUAAGUACGAUUAGAAUUAAAACAAAUGACUGUCUGAUGUCAGAUGACUUUCUGUUGGUUAAUUGACUGUUGGUUGUUUGUUGGGGCAACAGGUAACAAUUUUCCUGGUUUUACAUGUAUGUGUCAGCCGAUUGUUAGUCAAGGGUUGGCUCACAGUCCACCAGCUUUCCAUCAGUAAAGUGUUGGUACAAUUACUGCCCAAUGUGUAUGUUUCUUAUCAAACACUUGCCUCCUUACCCCUGGCAUCUACACCAGUUGUCAAGUCUUCAUGU
rnacentral:misc_RNA from 1 species